AACGCGAAGAACCUUACCUGGGCUUGACAUGCUGGUGAAAGCCGGUGGAAACAUCGGCCCCUCUUCGGAGCGCCAGCACAGGUGCUGCAUGGCUGUCGUCAGCUCGUGCCGUGAGGUGUUGGGUUAAGUCCCGCAACGAGCGCAACCCUUAUCACUAGUUGCCAGCACUUAGGGUGGGAACUCUAGUGAGACUGCCUGGGUUAACCAGGAGGAAGGUGAGGAUGACGUCAAGUCAGCAUGGCCCUUAUGUCUGGGGCAACACACGUGCUACAAUGGCCGGUACAGAAGGCAGCAAGACCGCAAGGUGGAGCAAAUCCCAAAAGCCGGCCCCAGUUCGGAUUGUAGUCUGCAACUCGACUACAUGAAGUUGGAAUUGCUAGUAAUGGCGCGUCAGCUACAGCGCCGUGAAUACGUUCCCGGGCCUUGUACACACCGAGUAUA
rnacentral:rRNA from 1 species